GACUGGAUGGUUACAACUUACAUCACUGAGUGUAUCGACUGCCGGGUCUUUUCUUGACGGCUGCUUUACGUUCCCAUCGUAAUCCUUUUCAUCAAUCAUCAUCAUUACCUGCUAUGUAACCAUGCCGCCACCCUCGAAAAUCCCAUGCCCAAGCUAUCGCGGCAGCGAUCCCACUCCGAGCUCUGCCCCCAGGUAAAAAUGUCUAUGUACGUGACCCUGCAAGCCAACCAAGUCCACGCCCAGCUAGGAUUAAGCAUGCAUAUUGCAGAGCAGGAAGUGAUGUUACCAGCAGCUAAGCGUUCACAACUUGGGAGAGUUGGGUAUGACAAGUUGGAGAGAGAGCCUUCAACCAGGAUGAAAUUAUUUGAAUUGGGGGGCACCAUCUCUACACAGUUUAUUGCGUUUCAUGUGGCCUCUUGAACUGCUUGGUGGCGAGCAUGAAAGCUCAUCUUCCGAAUAUUUUUUGCAGAAAUAAUUGAAGAGAAGAGAUUGAUUUUGUAAAGAAACAAGGAAAAAUAGUCUAAAUGGUUUAAGAAUGAGAAAUGAUAUUUGUCGUCAUAAA